CUACCAUGGCUUUAACGGGUAACGGAGGAUUAGGGUUCGAUUCCGGAGAGGGAGCCUGAGAAACGGCUACCACAUCUAAGGAAGGCAGCAGGCGCGUAAAUUACCCAAUCCUGACUCAGGGAGGUAGUGACAAGAAAUAACGGACCGAAGCCUAUGUUUCGGGAUUGCAAUGAGUAGAAUUUAAACCCCUUUACGAGGAUCAAUUGGAGGGCAAGUCUGGUGCCAGCAGCCGCGGUAAUUCCAGCUCCAAUAGCAUAUAUUAAAGUUGUUGCAGUUAAAAAGCUCGUAGUUGGAUUUCUGGUAGGAUAACUUUGCCCUCUUGAUGAGUGCGCAGAGUGAUCCUGCCAUCCUUCUGUUAACCCUUCAGGCAUUCUUUUGUUUGUUGGGGGCUCAGAUAUUUUACCUUGAGAAAAUUAGAGUGUUUCAGGCAGGCUAGCGCCGGAAUACAUUAGCAUGGAAUAAUAGAAUAGGACUUUUACCUCUUCUGUUGGUCUGAGGGGUUCAAGUAAUGAUUAAUAGGGAUAGUUGGGGGCAUUAGUACUUAACUGUCAGAGGUGAAAUUCUCGGAUUUGUUAAAGACUAACUUAUGCGAAAGCAUUUGCCAAGGAUGUUUUCAUUAAUCAAGAACGAAAGUUAGGGGAUC
rnacentral:rRNA from 1 species